CACAAGGUUCAGGGCAGAAGCGCCACCACUUCUCACCACCCCACUGCCGACUACGUCCACUAAGCCAACCGUGGGUCAUUCCUGGACUCUUGCCAUAGCUCCCGGAUGGUCUCCUGGCUUCACGUUUUGCCCUGUUCCAGUACAUCAGCCACAUCACAGACGGAGUCCACCUCUUAAAACAUGCUGCUUCUGGGAGUCUGGAGCAGACCAAGGAUUCUGCAUUUCUAACAAGCUCCCAAGUGAUGCAGAUGCUGUUGAUCCAGUGACCACACUUUGAGUGGCAAGGGUUUAGAGGAAAUCAUUAACCAGGGCUUCAGACAGACCAGGACUAGCAACCAAGCUCCACCACUUAAUAAGCAUAUGAAUUAUGAGCUGAGAGUGGAGUGAAGAUAGCACUAUACAGCGGGGGAAAGAAAGAUAAAGUGAGGAGAACGAUUAGGGCCCCAAGAGCUUCUUAUCCUUAACUUGGAAGAGCCAGAAACCAGCAGCAAGUGAAUGGAGAGGAAGUAGUGAAUAAAACCAAAACCAUCCAAGUAAACCUUGGAGCAAAGAGGAGAUACUUUAAAUUGAAUGUAAGGUGAAAUUUUAAAACAUUCUUUUGGUUGGGAAUUUUUAGUAGUCAAAAAUAAGGGCUCUUCACUAAUACCCAAAAUUUGCUGUAAAAGCAACUGGUUGCAUGGUGGUUU